AGAUUCUUAAUCGUGGUAUUCAACGGUUUGAUGUACAGGCUGUUAUUGUUCAGCGCAAUGUCACCACUGGCGUGAACAUCAUCACCGACAAGCGGAAUAUCCAGAUGCAGCGAGCCUUUCACUGGCCCGCCAAUUUUCAGUUCAUCCAGCGCCGUACCCAACGAGGAUUUCAGCGGUGUUUGAUUAAAAUAGUUCCCCACUUCAGGCCCCGGACCUUCCAGCUCGCCAUCAAUGAGCAGCAUCUCUUUUUCAUAAUCGGGAAUGACCGCGCUAAUAUUCUUGCCUUCCACCUUGCCCAACCAGGUUUGUGGCGCAAACAUCCAUAGACCGUUGUUGGCGAAAUCCAGAUUAAUAUCCAGUGGCGUCAGCGCAGGCCAGCCCGGCUGAAACUCGAAGGUCGCCCCUUUCACCGGCACC
rnacentral:ncRNA from 18 species